rnacentral:lncRNA from 1 species
AUUAACUCAACACCUUAAGAACAUGCAUCAAAUUCAACAAUUAAAAAUCUCCAUCUACCAAAAUUAAAAGACUUUAAAACUACUUCAAUCCAUAAAAAUUGAAACUUAAAAAAAAAUAGAAUAAGAAAAAAAAUCAUUUUUUAGAUUUGAAAAAAAAAUCCAUAAAAAAUUGAAAAUAGUAACCUAUGUGAUUUAUCCAAAUAACAUGAAC